rnacentral:lncRNA from 1 species
AAAAAAGGAACAAUCAAAGUGUAUAAAAUUUAAAUUUUGAGAUAAUUUUUUAUCAGGAUGUAAUAUUCUAUUAUGUAAAUCUGUAUUUGGUCAUAUGUUUUAGUCAGGAUGUCAUAAUUUCAACAUCUUCAGUUGAGAUAAUAACAUCAUCUAUCGAAUUAUGACAUCAUGGAUUGAAAUUAUGACAUCCUGGUAUAUGAAAUACACCACGCACGUAGAAUUAUGACAUGCGAUGUAGAAAAUAUGGCAUCAUAGGUCGAAACUAUGACAUUCUGAUGCAGAUCGAUCCAUGAAGGCAGAAUUAUGACAUCCUGAAUUAAAAUGUUGAUAUCAUAGGUCGAAAUUAUGACAUCCUAGUAGAUAAAAUAUCCGCGAACAUAGAAUUGUGACCUCUAGCAAAAAAAUUAUGAUAUCGUAGGUUGAAAUUAUGACAUCCUGGCACAGAGCGGUCUCCAAUUACAGAACUAUAACAUGCUGAAUCGAAAAUAUGUCAUCGUAGCUCGAAGUUAUGUCAUCCUCACAUAAAGAUGUCCCUGAAUGCUAAAUUAUGACAUCCUGGAUCCAAAGUUUGAUAUCGUUGGAUAAAAGUAUGACAUCGUAGGUUAGAAUUAUGACAUCC